GACCUAAAUUGCAAGGAAGAGGAUCUAUAAGCUGGGUAUCCAAGUUUACACGCCAGGAGCCUUCACCAGCUUGAUAAAGUCGACUAUGGAAUUCCACAGUAAAAGUUAAUAAAGACUCUAUAUCGCCAAAAACUGUUUGGGCGUCAACUGGAUUCAAUGCACUGCAUUCUUUGACCCGCAAGCCAUAACUUUGUUGAAUCGCAAUGAGAUCGUUUAAAUAGGCAGCUUCAGUAGUAACCAGCUCUUUAAUCAAAUUUGCACGCUUUUUAAUACGCUUAUAUUCUGGAUUGAUAGAACUGGCUUCAGACAUAGCAAGAGAUUCCUUUGAUAAACGCUUACCUGGUGUGCUCGGUAAAGAAGUAGUGGCAUACGAAAUUGUUCGGCUGAGAGACUCAUCAGUUUCCAAGGCCAAAAUAGUAGAGUCCAACUUAGUAGAAAAAGAAGUAGUAUCAAGAGGUGAAAGGAGGGACGCUGUAGACGAAUGAGAGGAAGGCAUACUUGCCAAAGUCACACUGGAACGCUUUUCUUGUUCAUCCGUAGAGCUACCAGGUAGAUACGCCGAAGUCCUGUUACUGCUAGUUUCAGAGGAAUUCUGUGCCAUAAAAGACCCUAGGCCGCUAACUCUUCGUGAAGUUCCAUUGCUACUCGUGUUUGUAUGUAUUUUUCGAAGUGUUGUAGGACAGUUAUAUGAUGGGGAACUAGGCAACGAAGGCAAAGUAUAUCGGCUAGACUGAGCAUAAUCUUGACGAUUGCGGUCCCCAUAAAUACGAUUAGGGGUUAAAGUAGAACUAUUAGAGGCUGUAGAAUCCCCAUUUAAUGAGUGGCUCAUGUUGGAGUUUGGCAAAUUGAAGGAGCCCUCCGAAAAGAAUCUUCGGUGCUGAGACGAUACGGGAGGAGUGUUUGGAGUUUGGGGAUCUUGUAAAGCACGAGCAAAGCUUGCUCGAGACCUCCUUCCACUACUCAACCUGUAUUCACUCUGUGAUUCUGAAACAUCGCCAUCAGUGUCGUCUGAUUGUCGGUAAGAAAGCGAAUAACUG